GAUGAACGCUGGCGGCGUGCCUAAUACAUGCAAGUCGAGCGAAUGGAUUAAGAGCUUGCUCUUAUGAAGUUAGCGGCGGACGGGUGAGUAACACGUGGGUAACCUGCCCAUAAGACUGGGAUAACUCCGGGAAACCGGGGCUAAUACCGGAUAACAUUUUGAACCGCAUGGUUCGAAAUUGAAAGGCAGCUUCGGCUGUCACUUAUGGAUGGACCCGCGUCGCAUUAGCUAGUUGGUGAGGUAACGGCUCACCAAGGCAACGAUGCGUAGCCGACAUGAGAGGGUAAUCGGCCACGCUGGGACUGAGACACGGCCCAGACUCCUACGGGAGGCAGCAGUAGGGAAUCUUCCGCAAUGGACGAAAGUCUGACGGAGCAACGCCGCGUGAGUGAUGAAGGCUUUCGGGUCGUAAAACUCUGUUGUUAGGGAAGAACAAGUGCUAGUUGAAUAAGCUGGCACCUUGACGGUACCUAACCAGAAAGCCACGGCUAACUACGUGCCAGCCGCCGCCGUAA
rnacentral:rRNA from 1 species